ACGCUUUCGCGCCUCAGUGUCAGUUACAGACCAGAAAGUCGCCUUCGCCACUGGUGUUCCUCCAUAUCUCUACGCAUUUCACCGCUACACAUGGAAUUCCACUUUCCUCUUCUGCACUCAAGUCUCCCAGUUUCCAAUGACCCUCCACGGUUGAGCCGUGGGCUUUCACAUCAGACUUAAGAAACCACCUGCGCGCGCUUUACGCCCAAUAAUUCCGGAAACGCUUGCACNGUUAACCGGGGNUGUUGGCACGUAGUUAGCCGGGGNUUUNUGGUUAGGUACCGNCAAGGNGCCAGCUUAUUCAACUAGCACUNGUUCUUCCCUAACAACAGAGUUUUACGACCCGAAAGCCUUCAUNACUCACGCGGGGUUGCUCCGUCAGACUUUCGUCCAUUGCGGAAGAUUCCCUACUGCUGCCUCCCGUAGGAGUCNGGGGCCGGGUUUAAGUCCCAGNGNGGCCGAUCACCCUNUNAGGUNGGNUACNCAUCGNNGCCUUGGUGAGCNNGUUACCNUCACCAACUAGNUAAUGCGACGNGGGUCCNNCCAUAAGNGACAGCCNAAGCCGCCUUUAAUUU
rnacentral:rRNA from 1 species